GAUGAACGCUGGCGGCGUGCCUAAUACAUGCAAGUCGAGCGAACGGACGAGAAGCUUGCUUCUCUGAUGUUAGCGGCGGACGGGUGAGUAACACGUGGAUAACCUACCUAUAAGACUGGGAUAACUUCGGGAAACCGGAGCUAAUACCGGAUAAUAUUAUGAACCGCAUGGUUCAAAAGUGAAAGACGGUCUUGCUGUCACUUAUAGAUGGAUCCGCGCUGCAUUAGCUAGUUGGUAAGGUAACGGCUUACCAAGGCAACGAUGCAUAGCCGACCUGAGAGGGUGAUCGGCCACACUGGAACUGAGACACGGUCCAGACUCCUACAGGAGGCAGCAGUAGGUAAUCUUCCGCAAUGGGCGAAAGCCUGACGGAGCAACGCCGCGUGAGUGAUGAAGGUCUUCGGAUCGUAAAACUCUGUUAUUAGGGAAGAACAUAUGUGUAAGUAACUGUGCACAUCUUGACGGUACCUAAUCAGAAAGCCACGGCUAACUACGUG
rnacentral:rRNA from 1 species